rnacentral:lncRNA from 1 species
UGAAAAAUGGAGCAGGAUUUUGUUCGUUAUUUCAGAGCGAAGAUAAAGGAUUAAUUAAACAAAUCCAUUUUUAUUCCAGUAUCACUGGUUUUCAUCUCAAUUUUAUUGUAUACGUUCUCCACUUAUUAUUAUUCAGUUUUGUGACUUAAAACUAAAACCGGUUUUUCGAUAAAAAUUUUCCAUAUGGACUUCUCUCAAUUCAACGAUUGCAACAACGUCCAACAUUUCGUUGGUUUUUUAAUAAUGAUUCUCGUACAUCUUAUAUUAAAAAACAGUUCCACUGAAAAUAUUAAAACAUAGCAAUAUAUAUCGUCAAAAUGAAUGUUUGUCAAAACAAAUGGCUUUGACAUUGCAAAGUUUUCUAUUUUCUUAAAGUUCAAGUAUUUCGUGGUUAUGAAGUUCAGGAAGUGUCGCUCCAGUUCGGGAGAACAUCGAGUCAAUGUCCGAGCCCAGAUCACGAGAAAAGCUAUGUCGCCAAGCUGCUCCAGCACCCGAGUUGCUAUUUAACCUGUGAGGAGGAGAAAUCGAUAAUGUAAUGCAGGAAAACAAUCGUAUCUCAUUCGUCAACGUGAAAAGGAGAUUAUGCUUAAAAGGCUUCAAGAUCCAGAUCAACGAUAUACCUUGUGCUAGUUGAAGACAUCAGUACAGCUUCCAGUCCUUUUGAGACUGUGAUUCUUGCUCAUCUCGCACCUCUACUACAGUUUACGAUGGACGAUUCUUCAUUUCGAAGUUAUUUGCAGUUUCUGCGUCGGAACCUUCUUUAUUUUGUUAAGCAUCCUUCGCGGAGUCGAAGCUCUCCAUUGUAUCUUAAUAUGUUCAUAAUUGUAAUUCUAUCUUUUAUCAAUAAAUAAUACAAAUGCA